rnacentral:lncRNA from 12 species
GGGAAGAGCUGAAUCCGUUCAAUGCUUAUUCAAUGAAGGGUUUAUUUGUGAUAUUUUUUUUUUUUUUGAAGAGGAAAGUGAAGAGAACAACAAAACAACAGAUCACACGUCCUCCAGGCGACUCGUGGCCUGAUGCCAGCCUUAGGCCUAUCUUAACUAGGAUGGCCUUGACAUGUUGAAAGAUAUAUUUCAGUAGAGAAAUCAAUGAAGGAACUUGAUACAAUUUGAACAGAUGAAUAACGUGAGCAAAAGAAGUUCCCUGGCUCUUGGAAAACAUUGUUUUGGAAGAUUAUCCAGACUUGCAAUUUAAUACCAGAUGUUGGCAUCUGGAGAGACCCUGAUUUGACAUCUUGGCAGGAGAAAUGAAGAAAACAGAAAUGGUAGUUAAAAAAAAAAAAAAAAAAAAAGGAAGAAAGGAGUGUUGCAAUAGCCCAGGGGAGCCAUCCCAGAAUGUCAGAAAGCGUGAGUUUCUCACCCACGAGUCUCGAGUGAUGUCAAGGGCAGCCGGGGCCCGGGGAGGCUCCAGAAGGGAAUGUGAGGGUGAGGAGGGGACGAUUCCUCGCUGACCCCGCGAGGCGGUUGCGGCCGGGGAAGCAGGCCAGAGAGCGGCACGGGGCCUGUGAUGUGGCCGCAGGGCCCAGAGCAAACGGCUCUCCCAACCCGCUGUUAGGGCCGUGGUCGGCCAGCCUGACGACAGCCCCACGGCGGCGGGCGGAGCAUGGUCUGGGCUCCAGACACACGCACGGAUGGGCCCUGGCGCGGUCGGGCUCACACGCCCUCCAACCAGACCCGGGGUUGCUCUCGCACGUUCCUGUCGUGGCCUGAUGGGUCGUUCCAAGCAGAAGGCCGGUUUGAGGUGUGACCUGCACGCUGUGAACCAGUCAGAGCUAAGCGUUUGAGCAGGUUUGACCGGUGGGUCGCUCGUGCCCCAUCCCCUGAUCGAGACACAGGCCAUUUCUGUUUUCUUUUUUUAAGAUUUUAUUUAUUAAUUCAGGAGAGACCCAGAGAGAGAAGUGGAGACACAGGCAGAGGGAGGAGCAGGCUCCGUGCAGGGGCCCAACGUGGGACUCGAUCCUGGGACCUGGGGUCACGCCCUGGGCCGAAGGCAGAUGCUCCACUGCGGAGUCCCCCGGGUGCCCCAGGACAUGGAGCAUUUCUCUCACCCCAGAAAUCUCCGUCACGCCCCUCGCUGGUCAGCGCCCUCGCAUAGACAUGGAGGAGAGGGAAGCGCUGCUGUGUCUCCGUCACCGCAGGUCCGUGCAACCCAGAAAGAAGUUGGAAACAGGAAUUACAAAGUGUAGAGGAAGUUUACAGAAUCGCGACUCGAUUGAGGAGUCUUCGAAUUCACGUGCGUCCUGAGAGAGCGCCAAGUGCGCAGCACUGGAGAGGAAGGAGAAGGAAGACCAAGUCCUCAUCCUCCUAAAGAAGCUUGGCAAAUUGAACACCAAUACAAAAUAAAUUAAAAAAAAAAAAAAGAAGCUGUGGUGUC